rnacentral:rRNA from 1 species
GCCUGCCCAGUGAUAGUUAAACGGCCGCGGUAUCCUAACCGUGCAAAGGUAGCAUAAUCAUUUGUCCAUUAAUUGUGGACUCGUAUGAAAGGCAAAAUGAGAGCCCGACUGUCUCUUAUAACUAAUCAAUUAAACUGAUCCCCCAGUACAAAAGCUGAGAUACCACCAUAAGACCAGAAGACCCUGUGAAGCUUUAACUAACCUAUUAAACCCAAUAAUAAUUAAUUUCGGUUGGGGCGACCUUGGAACAAAAAAGAACUUCCAAUAUAUGACUUCAUCAUACAAAAGGCAAACAAGCCACAUUAGACCCAGUAUAUCUGAUUAAUGAACCAAGUUACUCCAGGGAUAACAGCGCUAUCUUCUUCAAGAGCCCAUAUCAAAAAGAAGGUUUACGACCUCGAUGUUGGAUCAGGACAUCCUAGUAAUGCAACCGUUACUGAGGGUUCGUUUGUUCAACGAUUAACAGCCCUACGUGAUCUGA